ensembl:lncRNA PRANCR progenitor renewal associated non-coding RNA
GACGACUGCAAAACGGCAGCGAUGGGGUGGGUAGGCAGGCCGCUUUCAGCGCGCUUCUAACAAGGUGGAGAGAGGCGCUUCACUUCCCUACCGCCCUUACCGCCGCUCCGUCUUGUCUCCCACCGACUCACAGGGAGGCUUGCUGCUCCUCCGCGGCCGUUACAGAGAGCGGGGCUUCUGCGGCCGCUACCGUUUCCCUGGGGCUAGGUUGCUUCGCAGAAGGCUCUGGCCCUGAGUCCGAGGGGGACUGCGGGGUCCAGGGGCGAUGAAUGCUCCCGCAACCUCCGGAGCUUGUGCGCGUACUUCAGGGACCGGCACCACGUCACCGUCACCUCCUGAGUAGUGAGUUCCCCUCUGAUGAAACCACUGGUAACUGCCUCUCCACGGAGGAAAAAGGUCUUCACCCGGAACUCUUGGCGAUGAACUGACCAAGUAAGGGAUGAGGAGGAGGAGCUUCUCAAGAGUUCCUAGAGAAAGACGAUGCCUGGGGAAGAUAAUGGCCAGUAGAGUUGGUGCCAGGGACUCUAGAAGGAAGAGGCUGGAGACAUCCAAGAGAAAUAUGAUCAGGAACUGGACUGAGACAGUGCUUGGAAGAUGAGUGGGGAGACAGAAAGGAAAAGGCAAGCUCUGGAAGCUGACAAAGUAUGGAAGGAAGGGCAAUGGCCUGUGGAAAAUAACUGAGACUUGCUGCCUGUGAGGCCAAUGACAUGCUGUCUUUGCCCACUGCUCCUGUCAGGUAAAUCCAUUCUCUCAGGGAGGAACUGCUUUACAAUUUCAGCAGAGAUGCCCAGCAGCUCAGUCAUCAUUUUUAAGCAGUGUGUUCAUCUCACACCAGUGGGUGACAUGUAAAGAUGUGCGGUUCAAGGUGUGUCAGAGGCCAGGAGCACCCAGCAAACCUGACUGGGGUGUCAGAGGAGGGGCCCAGGGCCUGAAUCUGUGCUCACCUCCUGGAUAUUCUGCUUUGCCCGGCUGUCAGAGGGAUGCAUGAUGGUCCCCAUCACUUUCAUGUUGCCACAGACAACCAGGGCUUCGUCCGGCGCAUCUGUGUUGAUUCCUACUCGACCGUGACAGACAAUAGAUUCUGGAACUUGUCCUCGCUGCCACAAUGCAUCACUGUCAUUUUCAAACUGCCCAGGGUUAGAGGCCUGGAAAAAUACAUAAAUAUAUUACAAUUAAAGUAACAGUAGCAGGAAUAGAUGAUCACAUUAGUGUUCAGAGCAAAGGCAAACUGAAUAUUAUCUAAGUCUUUCAUAAGAGAAUCCUGUAUUGAGUGGGACAUUCUGACAUAUCCAAGUAAUUCCGGGGCCCAGGAGAGCCAGGGAGGCUUCCCUAACCACUCUGCCUCCCCGCUAGCAGGAGCUCUGUAUACCCUGAUUUGAAACAUCCAAUCUCUAUUGCAUCUAUCUGGAAUUAAGAAUGUGAUCAGUUAUACUAGGUGGAUGAUAAAGAAGAAAACUAAAAAUGGCUAUCUUUCCAGGAAUAGUCAUCAUCAUCAUGAUUUAAAAUCAGAACAUUAUAUCAGAAAAUAUUACAGGUGUACUAAAGUCAGAUAAAUAAAAAUACCUUGCAUUUAGCUAGCCCUAUUAUAGUUUCAAAAUGCUUUUAUAUUUAUGAUUUCAUACACAAGUGACAAGCAAAUGAUAAUACAAAUAUAUUUAAUAUACAUCAACUAUUCCCUAAACACAGAGGAUACUGAAGGAAGAAUAAUAACAGCUACAUUUGUUGUGCGAUAAUUCACAGUGCAAUUAUAUGAGACACGUACUAUUGUCCUCAUUUUAUUGACACUGACACUCUGAAAAGAUAAAUAAAUUGCCCAAAGCCACAAAGCUAAUAAGUUCUGGAGCUGGAACUACAAGUCCUCUGAUUAUUAAAUAAUGAUUUGCCUGUUUCACGGCAUUGCUUAGAAGUAGUCCUGGCAAUCUUCAAAGAAAAUCCAAGUGAAACCAUUGGACUAGACAAAGUUCUGGAGAUUUUACUCUUAAAUAAAAUUCUUUGUCAAAGAAUGUUCCACUGCACUGCCUUCCUUCCUGCUUCCCUGUAGCCACUGAAUAUAUUCCCAAAUAUUUUAAAGUAAGCAUCUCUAAAUCCCUCAAAAUCCUCACAACAAAAUUAAUUUGUUUUUAAAAUUAUGAUGUAUUUUUAUGAUUGAGGCAGGCUGUCACAACUUUAGAUAAACAGUUGUGAUCCUGAUUAUCUAAAAAGUCAGUACUAAUACUUGACUUUUUACCUUUCUGGUGGUAUAUGAUACAUUGCAGGCUCAGCACCUGAAUAUGCAUAGAUUUUCUCUGAAGACUACUCAGGAAACCAAUAACAAUGGUUUCCUCAAGGAUGGAGCCUGGGAGAUGGAGAAACAGUGGUAGGAGGGAGAUUCACCUUUCACUAUAUACUCUCUUGGUAUUGUUUGAGUGUUUUUGUCAUAUGCAUUUGUUACAAUUUUAAAAAUAAUUAAAAGAAACCACAAAGUUUAUUUCUUAGUUUGGGUUUAAAGAACUUUUUGAUGUCUUCAAUUUCCUAAUUCAAUCCCAAGUGUCUGAACCCUGAGCUGCUUGGAAGACUCAACCAUUGAUACUUGAUAAACAGAAGCAGUGAAAGAGGCCAGGUGUGUGGUGGCUCACACCUGUAAUCCCAGCACUUUGGGAGGCUGAGGUGUGUGGAUCACCUGAGGUCAGGAGUUCAAGACCAGCCUGGCC